CGCGAAUCGCCCUUCGGGGUGCACCAGGCGCGAAAACUCUACAAUGCAGGCAACUGCGAUAGGGGAACAUCGAGUGAUACUCAUCUUGGGUGUCUGUCCUCCCGUCUAAAAAACGGGAGUUAGCAAGGGCCGGGCAAGACCGGUGCCAGCCGCCGCGGUAAUACCGGCGGCUCGAGUGGUGGCCGAUAUUAUUGAGUCUAAAGGGUCCGUAGCCGGCUUCGCAAGUCUUUUGGGAAAUCCAGCGGCUUAACCGUUGGUCGUCCGGGAGAUACUACAUUGCUUGGGGCUGGGAGAGGUAGGAGGUACUCAGGGGGUAGGAGUGAAAUCCUGUAAUCCUUUGGGGACCACCGGUGGCGAAGGCGUCCUACCAGAACAGGUCCGACGGUGAGGGACGAAAGCUAGGGGCACGAACCGGAUUAGAUACCCGGGUAGUCCUAGCCGUAAACGAUGCUCGCUAGGUGUCACAACAAUCGUGAAUUGUUGUGGUGCCGUAGGGAAGCCGUGAAGCGAGCCACUUGGGAAGUACGACCGCAAGGUUGAAACUUAAAGGAAUUGGCGGGGGAGCAC
rnacentral:rRNA from 1 species